rnacentral:rRNA from 1 species
UAGGGAAUCUUCCGCAAUGGACGCAAGUCUGACGGAGCAACGCCGCGUGAGUGAAGAAGGUUUUCGGAUCGUAAAACUCUGUUGUUAGAGAAGAACAAGUGCUAGAGUAACUGUUAGCGCCUUGACGGUAUCUAACCAGAAAGCCACGGCUAACUACGUGCCAGCAGCCGCGGUAAUACGUAGGUGGCAAGCGUUGUUCGGAUUUAUUGGGCGUAAAGCGAGCGCAGGCGGUUCCUUAAGUCUGAUGUGAAAGCCCUCGGCUCAACCGGGGAGGGUCAUUGGAAACUGGGGAACCUGAGUGCAGAAGAGGAGAGUGGAAUUCCAUGUGUAGCGGUGAAAUGCGUAGAUAUAUGGAGGAACACCAGUGGCGAAGGCGACUCUCUGGUCUGUAACUGACGCUGAGGCUCGAAAGCGUGGGUAGCAAACAGGAUUAGAUACCCUGGUAGUCCACGCCGUAAACGAUGAGUGCUAAGUGUUGGAGGGUUUCCGCCCUUCAGUGCUGCAGUUAACGCAUUAAGCACUCCGCCUGGGGAGUACGACCGCAAGGUUG